rnacentral:rRNA from 1 species
AGUGGAUGGGGAGCAACCUAGUUGUGCGUGUGUAAAGGUAGUGCCAAGAAAAGCGAUGAUCAUGUUGAAAAUCAAAUCCCGGUACCCGAAACCGACACAGGUGGGCAAGUAGAGAAUACUAAGGGGCGCGAGGUAACUCUCUCCAAGGAACUCGGCCAAAUGACCCCGUAACUUAGGGAGAAGGGGUGCCACCGAGAGGUGGUCGCAGUGAAGAGGCCCAGGCGACUGUUUAGCAAAAACAUAGGUCUCUGCAAAUUCGAAAGAGGAGGUAUAGGGGCUGACGCCUGCCCAGUGCCGGAAGGUUAAAGAAGUUGGUCAGUUUUAGGAUGAAGCUAGCGACUGAAGCCCCGGUGAACGGCGGCCGUAACUAUAACGGUCCUAAGGUAGCGAAAUUCCUUGUCGGGUAAGUUCCGACCCGCACGAAAGGCGUAACGAUCUGGGCGCUGUCUCGGAGAGAGGCUCGGCGAAAUAGGAUUGUCUGUGAAGAUACGGACUACCUGCAUUUGGACAGAAAGACCCUAUGAAGCUUUACUAUAGCUUGGAAUUGUGUUCGGGCUUCCUGUGCGCAGGAUAGGUGGGAGGCGUAGAAGGUAUUCUUGUGGGGAUACUGGAGCCAACGGUGAGAUACCACUCUCAGGAGGCUAGAAUUCUAACUUAAUUAAGGACAGUUUCAGGUGGGUAGUUUGACUGGGGCGGUCGCCUCCAAAAAGGUAACGGAGGCGUACAAAGGUUCCCUCAGACUGGUUGGAAAUCAGUCGAAGAGUGCAAAGGCAGAAGGGAGCUUGACUGCUAGAAGUACAGUUCGAGCAGGGUGGAAACACGGUCUUAGUGAUCCGACGGUGCUGUGUGGAAAGGCCGUCGCUCAACGGAUAAAAGUUACUCUAGGAUAACAGGCUGAUCUCCCCCAAGAGUUCACAUCGACGGGGAGGUUUGGCACCUCGAUGUCGGCUCAUCGCAACCUGGGGCGGAAGUACGUCCCAAGGGUUGGGCUGUUCGCCCAUUAAAGCGGUACGUGAGCUGGGUUCAGAACGUCGUGAGACAGUUCGGUCCAUAUCCGAUGUAGGCGUGAGAAUAUUGAGAGGAGCCUUCCUUAGUACGAGAGGACCGGGAAGGACGCACCGCUGGUGUACCUGUUAUGAUGCCAAUUGUAAACGCAGGGUAGCCAAGUGCGGAGAGGAUAACCGCUGAAAGCAUCUAAGUGGGAAGCCCACCUCAAGAUGAGUAUUCUGGUGUAAGGUCACGGGAAGACGACCCGUAAAUAGGCACGAGGUGGAAGUGCAGAGAUGUAUGAAGCCGAAGUGUACUAAUAGACCGUCGGC